rnacentral:rRNA from 1 species
AUUGAACGCUGGCGGCAGGCCUAACACAUGCAAGUCGAGCGGAGCGGCGGACGGGUGAGUAAUGCCUAGGAAUCUGCCUGGUAGUGGGGGAUAACGUCCGGAAACGGGCGCUAAUACCGCAUACUAUCAGAUGAGCCUAGGUCGGAUUAGCUAGUUGGUGGGGUAAAGGCCUACCAAGGCGACGAACCGUAACUGGUCUGCGAGGUUGAUCAGUCACACUGGAACUGAGACACGGUCCAUGCCCCUACGGGAGGCAGCAGUGGGGAAUAUUGGACAAUGGGCGAAAUCCUGAUCCAGCCAUGCCGCGUGUGUGAAGAAGGCCUUCGGAUUGUAAAGCACUUUAAGUUGGGAGGCGUUACCGACAGAAGAAGCACCGGCUAACUCCGUGCCAGCAGCCGCGGUAAUAC